CUAGUCGAGUACCCGCUGAUUUGAUGGGGGGGUACCGGCGAGACAACCUGGAUCGGGGAAGGCUAAGGCAUGUUUUGUGCUAUGCUAAUCCCGAGCAGAGCCCCCAUAGAGCGAUCUAUGGCAUGGCCUGUGUAGAGCACGCUAAGGUGUCGGUCAACUCAAGCAAGUUGGCUUAAGGGACGUGCCGUUCCCAUCCGAAAGGAUGGCUGUCAGUAAUAGCGCCCAUCACGCGAAGACUGACGGGCUUAGAUGUAUGGUUCACAUGGGAAGACCCCUUGUUUACCCUCCAUCUGAGUGACUUUCAAGGCCAGCAGCCGCGGUAAUUCCAGCUCCAAUAGCGUAUAUUAAAGUUGUUGCAGUUAAAAAGCUCGUAGUUGAACCUUUGGCCUGGCUGGCAGGUCCGCCUCACCGCGUGUACUUGUCCGGCCGGGCCUUUUCUUCUGGAGAACCGCAUGCCCUUCACUGGGUGUGUUGGGGAACCAGGACUUUUACUUUGAAAAAAUUAGAGUGUUCAAAGCAGGCCUUUGCUCGAAUACGUUAGCAUGGAAUAAUAGAAUAGGACGUGCGGUCCUAUUUUGUUGGUUUCUAGGACCGCCGUAAUGAUUAAUAGGGACAGUCGGGGGCAUCAGUAUUCAAUUGUCAGAGGUGAAAUUCUUGGAUUUAUUGAAGACUAACUACUGCGAAAGCAUUUGCCAAGGAUGUUUUCAUUAAUCAGUGAACGAAAGUUAGGGGAUCGAAGACGAUCAGAUACCGUCGUAGUCUUAACCAUAAACUAUGCCGACUAGGGAUCGGGCGGUGUUUCUAUUUUGACUCGCUCGGCACCUUACGAGAAAUCAAAGU
rnacentral:rRNA from 1 species